AAAGACCAUUAAUAUACAAAUCAAAGUAACAUAUACUUUAUGAAUAAUAAAUAAGCAAUCAUGGGGCACCAAAUUCGAUCUUAAAAAUAAAGCCAUGGAUGCAAAUAGCGUAAUUGAAAUUCUUACAAUCUAUUUAUGUGCAUUAAUGCUUACAGAGAAUAAUUGCUACCAUAAGAAACACUACUGAAAUUGACCAUAAACUGAAUUUGGCUGGAAGUACAUUGUAAUUCUGUUCUAUAUUGGUGAGUUGCUCUGCUGGGAUGAGUGUUUGUUUAAAACCAAAACACCAAACAAAGCCCCAACUUUAAUG
rnacentral:lncRNA from 1 species